GACGAACGCUGGCGGCGUGCUUAACACAUGCAAGUCGAGCGGUAAGGCCCUUUCGGGGGUACACGAGCGGCGAACGGGUGAGUAACACGCGGGUGACCUGCCCUCAGCUCUGGGAUAAGCCUGGGAAACUGGGUCUAAUACCGGAUAUGACUCCAUGACGCAUGUUGUGGGGUGGAAAGCCUUGUGCGGCUGAGGAUGGGCCCGCGGCCUAUCAGCUUGUUGGUGGGGUGAUGGCCUACCAAGGCGACGACGGGUAGCCGGCCUGAGAGGGCGACCGGCCACACUGGGACUGAGACACGGCCCAGACUCCUACGGGAGGCAGCAGUGGGGAAUCUUGCGCAAUGGGCGAAAGCCUGACGCAGCGACGCCGCGUGAGGGAUGACGGCCU
rnacentral:rRNA from 1 species